rnacentral:rRNA from 1 species
UACGUAGGGCGCAAGCGUUGUCCGGAAUUAUUGGGCGUAAAGAGCUCGUAGGCGGCUUGUCACGUCGGGUGUGAAAGCCCGGGGCUUAACCCCGGGUCUGCAUCCGAUACGGGCAGGCUAGAGUGUGGUAGGGGAGAUCGGAAUUCCUGGUGUAGCGGUGAAAUGCGCAGAUAUCAGGAGGAACACCAGUGGCGAAAGCGGCUUCCUGGUCCAGCACCGACGUCAGGCACGAAAGCGUGGGGAGCAAACAGG